rnacentral:lncRNA from 1 species
UAUAGGUGGUGAGCCCUCUAACAAGGGUAAAGAGAUUGUGCCCGAAGAUCGGGAAUAGGAGUAUAUCGAACUCCUAGUAUUGUGAGUAACCUUACUAUCGUCUUAAUUAUCUAAAUUAUGUUUGAUCCGAUUUUGUGAAUUUUAUGAAAAAUGAAUUAAAUGAUAAAUUUUUCGGUUUUAUAAACAAUAUGUGAUUUAAUGAAAUGAUUUCAUAAAAUUGUUUUAAAAUUGAAUAAUGGUUUUUCAAAUAGAGUAAUUGGAGACCAUUUGAUGUAUUAUGAAUUUAUGGUUCUAAUUGAUUAGCUUAUGACAAUAUUGGCAUGAAUGGCUGAAUUGGUAUUUGUGUUAAAAUAUAUGAAUUGUGUAUUUAGCCUUGAAAGGUUGUGAACUACAAUAAUUGCCAUAUCAUAUUAUUGAAUUUUAUUGAUUGGUGGGAUAAUUAUUAGCUUACUGCAGUGGGCGGGUUUUUGUGGACCAGCCUAUUAGAGGGGCACGGUAAACCCCAUUAUAUCUUACCUCAGUAUGAGAGGCGCGGGUGGAUAACUCUUGAGUCUAACAUUUUAGAGUUCACUUCACGUCAAACCACCACGUGUGGGGGAACUCAGCCAACGCCAAGGAACGACUAUAUUUUCAAAAUAAAAACAUGAUUUAUGAGUACAUAACUUUUUAAUAGCCUUGGCGGACUCGGUUUGGGAUAGCCAUCAGCCAAGGUAUCCCUGAUGACUGAGUAUGAUAAUGAUUUUGGCACGAGCCAAAGUUUUAAGAAAUUCAUAAGCCAUGUUAAUUACUCGAUUUAUAUGAAUUGAUUUUAUUUGGUUGAAACAAGUUGAAAGGUGAUGAAUUUCAGUAUGUUAAACUAUUUUAUCUAUCUUCAUUUACUCGACUUUGGAUGGUUUAGAUGGUAUCUGUUUACUCACUGGGAUUUUAUAAUCUCACCACCCUCCUUUCCAACCAUUUCAGGCUCGAGGUAGCCUGUGAAUAGCAGAUAUCGUCAAGGAUUAUAGUCGGCUUUACUACUCCAAAAACUAUAGGUUUACUGCCUUUGUGCACUUUUGUUCUUUGUGGGCCCACGAGUCACUGUAAAGUAAAUUUCAUAUCCCGGUUAUCUAUAUUAUAGUAUGUAUGAAUUUAUUUAGAUUUUACAUUACAAAAAUUAU